rnacentral:rRNA from 1 species
AUGUGUCGAUCACUAACUAAUAGACAGGAGUCUGAUGUUGGAAAGAAGCAACUGGUACCAAAGCAAAAGCAUCACGACUCCCCUUACAAAUCAAUGAAGUGUUCUAAUUCUAAUUCUGGCGAUCUAAGCACCGGUCCAAGCGGCUCUCCCUCGGCUAUGCCUGGAUGUUCGAGCUGUCAGUGUGUACAGGAGCAGCAGCCACCACCGCUGCCAAGUAGCUCCAGCAAUCACGUGCUCACUCUUGCUUCACAGACUAUGUAUGGUCAGUUCAGAAAAUUGGAGGUUUUAGGAUCUUUGGAAGUUUUUUGA